AAUGAAAGCAUUAAGGAUCAUUUAUCUAACUUUUCUCUACUAAUAGGGCCUCAGAAAAUGAUGUUUCUGCUUUCCUUUGCCCUGUCUUGAUGAUCAAAGAGGGUGUUAGGAGCCCAGCUGAACCGAAAGUAAAAUGGCCUGUGACUCAGAACCAGUCCUGAGGCUUCAGCUGUCAAGUUUACACCCCAGACUCUCAAGAGAAGAAAGAAGGAAGGGAAAAAAAGGCCCACGUCUACACUGGGCUGACUCCCUUUAAAGAGACUUCUCAGCUGUCCCACACCAUAAUUCUGCUUUCAUCUCACUAGUCCAAACUCAGUGUCAAAGUCACCUCUAACUGCAAAAGAGGCUUGGAAAUGCAGUGCUUCAGCUGGUGAUGCAUUCCUAACACGAGUGAACUCAACAAAGGACAUGAGUAGAUCCGAGAAGCACCAAGAAUGAUUGUAGCCGAUGCCUUUGCUUCCCAUCAGCUAUCCUCUCAGGUCUCAUUGUCCCCAGACACACCUGCAGGAAAACAUGAUAGAGAAAGACACAGAGGGCCCCCAAGCUGCAGAUCCUGCCAGAAUUCUAAGGUGUUUUACGUGAACUACAUGAAGAAGUCGACAAGACCAAUGGUAUUUAUAAGUGUUCUCUGUUGUAAGAUAUAUUUUGAUAUAAUUAACAACAGUUCUGAGAAAACAGGCAGGACGUUUGAGGAAACAGGCAGGAGAGGACAACUGGCUGGAAAGAAGCAGAUGAAGAGUUCCAUCUGGCAAAGAUCGAGCACAAAAGAUAAUCUGGGUCACAUUUUGGAGCUAUUGAUUAAAAGUUAACCAACAAAUAUUAACAGAUUUCCCACUCAGAAGAGGGAGAUUUACUUAUUUUGGCCCAGAGGCUAAAGUCAAGGCUAUAGGUGGCUCUCCGUUGACUCCUCUGGAACAUUGUGGAUGGGAAAAUAAGCAGUACUCGUGGAGGUAAUGUGUCAGGCAAGGCUCACCUCGGGCAACAACCUCUUUCCUCUGCAGUGACCCCGUUUCGCUUAUGGAUCAAAAAGACGUAGCCAGGAAAAGUGAGGACUGGGACUGGGCACCCGGGGUGGGGCCGAGCUGAGCCGUUGAUCAGAAGGGACACAAGUACAAUCCACACAGGGCAGCUCUGCAGCCUUUUGCUUCCUCUGACUGCAUUCAUCAUUGCCUUACCAGGGGUUAGAUCAAUCUAUUGCCUUUAAAACUUGUGGGUAAAGCAUCUCUUUUGAAGAAUGUGCUCUGAGGGAGAGAUCAUACUUCUUUAAAACAACCUUCUGUCGGUCUGUUUGUCCAAUGCAGGUUUCCCAGAUGCCUCAUUAGACUUUCAUUCCAAGAGCUGGCUUUCAGACCACAUUGAGCAAAUCCUCUUAAAGGUGUUAGUUGGCAUAUCAUCUUGUUAGAGGUUUCUAGAGAAGAGAAAAGUCUACUAAAUUCAGAGACAUUCUUUCCUAAUAUUGGAAUUCAAGCACCGUGACAAGUCUUUGAGAGAGAGAAAUUGUUCUCGAAGCCUGCCAUACCCAAAACGGUUUAGACUGCUUUCACAUUCCGAUACUCGACUAAAGAGUUAAUGAAGACUGUGUCUUAGCACCGGUGGUAUUUAUUUAACGUGCACUAUAAUCCCAGCUGACACUUCCUAAUGAGUUUAUUGCUGCUGUGGAGUUAAAGCUCCCCCACUCAAUAAGCAUAAACUUGAGUGUCAAAAAUGAAACAUAGUCGGCCCUGGUGCUUAAAUGGCCUGUAUUGAUCCUCCGGCAGUCUAACUGCUGUAGUCUGGUGCCAGUUCUCUAAUUUGUGCCCUGAAGUGUGCAGCCACACUUGAUUUAGAUGUCAGAAUGAGGCAGCACUCAGUUUGGGAAAUCAGCUGAAACAUUCUUAAAAAAAAUUGGUCUGGAUAGCUUCACCUUGCAUUGUAAAGACCAUUGCUCUCGUGUAAACAAGGGGCUAAAUAAUAUUAUUCCCAUAGACUUUUUUGAGGGUGUUUUAUCAAAGGAAAUGUCCUCAGAGUCAAAGCUUGCUGUGUUUUGUGCUUUAUCUGUACAGAAAAUUCCAUUUAGAGAAAUUUAAUGCCAAAGCUGUAAGAUCUGCAUUCCUAGAGAAUGACUAUUUAGGGCAUUGUCUUUGAAUAUGAAGUAAACACACACUGAGAAUGUU